ensembl:lncRNA
GCUUGACUCAUGCUGCCUGUUGAAGAAGCUGCAGCACAGUCUUUGCCUUUCACUUCUUACUCCACUUCAGUUGGAUACAACACUGUUUGGACUGAACAUCGACAGAAGUGAUUACAACCCAAGCAUGGCUGGCAAGUUCGGUAAGUCAUCAUGUUAGUCAUGUUUUCUAGUGUUACAACAGUGAUUAUGGCUGAUUUAAAAUCAUGGUUGGUUGGCAGGUAGGUCGAUAGAUUAUAAAAAUAAAAACAAGAUCAAUGAGGUUAGUUUUAUACAUACACAGACCUGUGAUGGUUUAAAUAAAUGUUUUAAGUCUGAAAGAGAGUAGGUAGAAGCUUAAUGGUUUUCAAGACCUACCCCAUUAUACAAAAAUGAACAAAAGAUAAAAACUACACUGUAAAAUGUAAUUCUAGAUGUUUGUUAUUUCAACAUAUUAUUCUAUAUCAGUUUGACGAUAGAUAACUGAAGUUGUUGUUAUAACAUAGAAUUAUAAGUUAAAAACGUCCCAAUUACACCAAAAAAAGCUAACUUGAAAACUCAUGUCCAGCUAAAUCAGCAACUUAUGUGAACUUGACAAUGUGGGUAAGUUGAGCACAGCAGGAUUCAAAACUGCCUCACGUGACUGCUACCGAGGUGCAUCAUGGGGAAUUGGCGGUUAACGACAUGCUCACUUUACUUGGACGUUUUCUAAUCGUCUUCUUUGGAAUAUACUUUCAAGGUCUGUUAAGCCAAACUUGAUGCUGGGGAUUUAUUUUUGUCAGUGGAGUCAAAUGGUUGAAGCAGAAUUUGCCCGUCUUACAUCUGUUGACCUGAAAGGGUUCCUUUUGCUGUGCUUGACCAUUAUGGAGAGGUUCGUGGAGCUGUACAAACUCAAGAGCGGCAUAGGAGGGCUAACUAGGCUCAUAAGAUGCUUCGGUGAUGAUAGCCCUACACAAAGGAAGAGGACAGAGGACCUCAUUUUCUAAAGGAAGAUCCUCACACACUUUCAAGACUGUGAAGCCGACAGGUAUUGAAGACACGUUUUCUAAGAGGAUGAAAGUUGGCAUUGCGAUGGUGAAAGAAGAAGAUAUCAUCGAUGUGUUGGUUGUCCUUGAGGCGGCAGUAAUCCUGUCUAAUCUGAGGGAUGUCUCAAGUGCCAUUUCCAUGCUGAUGGGUCUUCUUUUUGCCCUCAACAUAGACUAUCCAAAGGAACUUAAGGACAUCUUUGAAGUCAUUCAGAACAUCCUAAUGAACAUUGGUGGAAGGCAGUGCAUCUCUCUAGUGCAUGGUCUAAGAAACAGACUCUUGCAGAAAGCCAUGCAGAACUGUAAUUGUAUGUUCCUUAGUGUUAAGGACAGUUUUUAUUUUACUGUUUGUUUUUUUAUUCUUGCAAGUUCUCAUUCUCACUUUUGUAUGUCACUAAAUGACUACACUUUACAUUCCAGAUUAGACAAUUACUCAUUUGUUCAUGGUUUAAGAAACUUAUGUGAACAACAAUAUAAUGGUGGACUCUGCAGAUGCUUAUCUCAUGCAAGUCAGUAGUUUUUCCUUUGUUUUGCAAUUGAGCAGACUCAAACUGAUGUUUCUGAAAUAUUCAUAUUAUCAAAUGUUUCAGAAGCAUGCAC